CACAUGCCUAUGUGCAUGUUCCACCAAAGCAAGUUCCUUCCUUAGACUAUUUUGUAGAGGCACGGUUGCUCCGUCCGGCACUAAGCACCACCCAAGACGAUUGUGAUUGGUUAAAAGAAAUGGCUUA